CAACUAGACUGAGCAUGAUCGGAGCUCUCGUUCAGUGUAAUGAGUUUCUAUUAUUUAAACAAGCGUGGACUGUAAUAGUCUAGUAAAAUUAUUUAAAGUUUCAGCGCAAUGUGUUUUUGUUCAAAGCUUUCUUACGUAACGCGAACUAAAAGUUAUAAAAGCAAAAAUAUAUCAUGAUGAUAGAAAAAAGGAAACACUGACUAUUUUAUACGACGUAUUUUUAUCAUGUUAUUUAUUUUUUGCUCAAUCAGGAUUUCCCGUAACCUAUGUCUAUCAUCGUUGAAACUGUCUAUCGCUACAUAUUCUACCGAGGCUACAUCAAGCGUAAAGAAAUUAUCCCGUACACAGAAAUACCGAUGUUUAUUAGACACAAAAAAUGUCAAAAAUCAGAAGAUGUCACCUAACUUUGUUACAUCGUUUGACCACCAAAAGCUUACCCAAUGUGUAGAUAUAACGAACAAUGAAAAACAAAAGAAUUUAUAUGUGCAAAAUGAACAAGAAUGGCAGUGUAUAAAAUUAGAUUCUGGCAAACUUCGAAAACAUUGUUUCAUGUUAUCUAAGAUAAGGUUAACAUCUUUGGUAGUUGUAACAACCAUGGCUGGAUAUGCAUUAGCACCAGGGCCCUUCGAUGCUUAUACAUUUGUUGCAUGUUCUAUGGGUACUGGAUUAGUGUCUGCAACAGCAAAUGCUAUCAAUCAAUUUUUUGAAGUUCCUUUUGAUGCGCAGAUGUCAAGAACAAAGAACAGAGUAUUGGUUAGAGGUUACUUAACACCUGGUCAUGCAAUAAUGUUUGCAACGGUAUCUGGCUUCAGUGGAUUAUUAUUAUUAUAUACCGAAGUUAAUGGAUUAACAGCUACUUUGGGAGCAGCUAAUCUGCUUCUAUAUACUCUUAUUUACACUCCUAUGAAACGCAUUAGUAUUCUAAAUACUUGGGUGGGUUCCAUAGUUGGAGCCAUACCACCAUUAAUGGGUUGGGCAUCUUGUGUCGGCAAUAUAAUAUCUCCAGGUGCUUGGAUAAUGUCUGGUCUAUUAUAUGCAUGGCAGUUUCCUCAUUUCAAUGCUUUAUCAUGGAAUUUGAGGCCGGAUUAUUCGCGUGCCGGUUAUAGAAUGAUGGCAGUCACGAAUCCAAAGCUUUGUCGUAAAACAGCAUUACGUUAUACCGCUGCAUUAAUGGGUCUUUGUUAUUUAGCACCAGUUUGUGAUGUAACAAAUUGUUGGUUUGCCUUGUUAUCGACACCACUUAAUGCGUAUUUUCUUUACCUUGCUUGGGAAUUUCACAAGCACUCUGAUAGUAGAAGUUCACGCAAACUGUUUCAUUUUUCAUUGAUUCAUUUACCUGCUCUUAUAGUUCUUAUGCUUAUAAAUAAGAAAAAGUGGUAUAAUGAUGACAAUAGACAGAGAGAUACGAUACUUUCCGAAGAAAAAAGCGAUAUUUACGCAGUUUUAAUGAAAACGAUUGCAUCGACAUUUUCGAGCACUUAAUAAACUACCUUGAAAUUUACGUUAUGAUACUAUAGGAAUCAUAAUAAGCUCUUUUGUAUAUUCUCCUCUGGAAGAUGACGUAUAUAUGGUUGGCACAACCAGGGAGGUAGUUUUAAGUUAUGAUCUGAAAUGUAGAAUGCAAAUGACCACGAAUGAAAGAAGGAGGGGCUGGAUAACGUUCCACCAAAUCUAAAUAUUCAAGCGCUGGCUCCCAACUAGGUGGAUAACGAGCUUCGAAUAUGUGCGGAUUGUAAAGACACUGUAUGUUACCAUUCGCAAAUACUGGAAUUGUGACGGCCUGUCUGAACGUUUGAAAUAACAAGAAAUAGCAACUUACUGGAAGAUACACGCCAAAUGAAGAUACGAAGGGGAAUUGUUAAUCAUACCUGACAGCUUUGAUGUGAUCCCAAGACGCGAUACCGGUUAACGGACCUUUUUGUUCCCGAGUUCGUCCAUGUACGAUGUUUAUGUUACGAACCGAUUCGUCGAAGCAAGUCCCAAUCGUCUUGAAGGAAAGCACCAUAACGACCACGUUUCGCGAUAGCUUGAGGACAACCAAUGUUUAUAUCCACUGCGUCGCAGUACGGUUCUGCCAAA